AGUAAAGCAGCUAUGUAGUUUUCUGGAGAGUCCAGGAUGUAGACUUGAAACUCUGGGAUUGAGGUUCUGUGAUUUGUCAGAGAUCAGCUGUGAUUACCUGGCAGCAGCACUAAAGUCCAACCCCUCCCAUCUUAGAGUGCUGGACCUGAGGGGAAACUACAGUCUGAAGUAUCCAGAUGUGAAGCAGCUGUCUGAUCUUGAGGAGAGUCCAGACUGCAGACUGGAGACUCUGGGGUGGGGGCGCUGGUAAACAGGACGGUGUGUGUGCUGAGAGAGGAUGAGCUGUGUCCUGAUGAUCCAGAGCCAUUGAAGCAGCAGCUGCUUGUGUGUAGAAACUCUCUGACUGGGCCAUGUUACUGGGAGAUGGAGUGGAGAAGAGAGCUUCAUCCAGCAGUGAAUGACAGAGGAAUGAGAAGAAGUGCAGAUCACUGUCAGUCCUGCAGUAUGAACUGCUCUGAGAACAGCUCCACUGUCAGAUACAAUGUAGAGUCCAGCAUCAUCCCUGUGUGUCCCUCUAGAUCUGACAGAAGAUCAUCAGUGUAUCUUGACUGCUCUAGUGCUGUUUUGUCCUUCUACAGUCUCUGCACAGUAGAUGAAUCAGUGCUUAAUGUUUAAUGUAGAUACUAAUGAUCAAUAAAUGUGCCAGUUGGAAUCAAAGGAAUGAUUCGGACAGAAUCUGUUCCUGCUUUUCUCUCAUGUGGAUCCGAUCCAGAUUUCCAGCUUCUGCCCUCCGCCUCAGAUUAGUCACCCAGCACAGCAGUAUUCCCAUUGAAGCUCACUUUUCCCACCUUUAAAGGAGCCUCAGACACACCUGGAAACAUGGAUCCGAGAAGUGAGACGACACGAAGAACAGCUGGGAGAAAAGGCACAACACGAGCUUCUCGUCUGUGACUGAAACCUUUGAAUCAGACUCAUUUUUAAUCUUUGCUCUUAAACUGGGCAGUGAUGCAGCUUUGAACACAGGAGACUCACCUUUGACCUUUAAAUGACCCUGUGGCCUUUCCUCCAGCGCCACCCUCAGUCCACAAACAGCGUGUGAUUGAUUAACUGAACUGAUCAAUAGUCCAGAAGUUUCACAGACUCAAUGCUGCACUCUGAUUAAAAAGAGCUUUUAUUUUUACGAGGAGGGUAUAUGUGUCUUCCUGUCACUGCUAGUGUGACAUUAACCCUUUAAGACCAGUCAGAGUGGGCACGCUCCGUUUUGCUAAUUUUUAAAUCCUUGUAGAAUUGCAACCACUUAAGCUAGCGCAAUAAUUUUUUUUGCAUAUGUACUUAUAUGUUAUGCCAUCAGCUUGUCCUAGGUCACGGUUUCCUUCCACAUAUAGCUUUGCAAAAAUUGCAUAAAAAGCACUUGCAGCAAAAAAACCCAUAAUAUUCCAGAAACACGCUUUGCCGAUCUGAUCAGCUGUUCGUAACACUUAAUACGUUGGAAUAGACGUCAGCGCGAACUAUCGCAUGUCCGCCAUUACUUGCCUGAAACUGGAAGUGACGUGAUUUUUACCUUCAGGGCCUUAUAAGCCUAUACUGGUUUUUUUAAAAGUCAUGUUUGACUGUAUGCUUUUCUGUAUAGUUUCAGGGAUGCUUAGAACUCAAAUUGCACUGCUGAAAAUAGUUUAUUU